UUAAAACAGCAGAGGGGUCAAACUAAAUAAAUUAAAAAUGCAGGAAAAGGGGUAGAGAAGAUGGAAUCCGAUGAUGACGAAGGUGAAUGAGGUGAUAAUCCACUAGUGUCUUUAAAAGCUUCUUGAGACUUCCAUUAAAACUGACCCAAAACUAAUCCCACUUCUUCGACCACUAUAAUCAACCCAACUAUUCAACUUCCCACUUCCUCCCUUUCCUGUUCUAUCUACCAAAACGCUAAUCAAAAUAACCCAAAUUUCAUGUUUCCAAUUUUUCUCAUUCAAUUUUCUUCUCGGUCUAUUUCUGCAUCUUAUUUUUGUUCUCAGUACACAAAAAAAUGGUUUAGAGAUUUCAAACUCAUCAGGGUCGCCUGGGUAUAUUCCAAGUCCCCAGUCAUGGCUGGGUUAAGGGAAUGGAAGGGAUUCGAAGAAUUUUUUCUGCUAUAAAGUGAUGAUACGGGUUCUACAAAUUCCUGGAUAUUUUCUGCGGAAUUCAACAAAUUAUUCCCAAUGUAAGUUUGUCAAAUUCCAUGUGUUUGUGCUUUCAUCAGUUAUGGGUUUUAGGAAACUAGAUGAAUAUUUCAAUUCAGGGCCUUAUGUGUUUGUGGAAAUGCUUAAGAAAAAGUUUUCUACUGAUGACCGAAGAGUUGUUAAUGACGGCAACUAAAUUGGUCACUUUUAGAUUAGAGUGUUUUAUUAAGAGAUGAAAGAUCAAGAUUUAAUUUUGCUUGGUUUGGGUUUGUAUAAUUUAGAGAAAUUGUUCUUCAUUCAAAUGCAUGAAGUUGGGUGAUUUCAGAAACAUAUAGAAUUUUUCUUUGUAGUUUCUUGCAAAUGCAUGAAGCUGAUUACAUUGCAUACUGCAAUUAUUA